rnacentral:rRNA from 1 species
GAUGAACGCUGGCGGCGUGCCUAAUACAUGCAAGUAGAACGCUGAAGCUUGGUGCUUGCACCGAGUGGAAGAGUUGCGAACGGGUGAGUAACGCGUAGGUAACCUGCCUCUUAGCGGGGGAUAACUAUUGGAAACGAUAGCUAAUACCGCAUAAAAGUCGACAUUGCAUGAUGUUGACUUGAAAGGUGCAAAUGCAUCACUAAGAGAUGGACCUGCGUUGUAUUAGCUAGUUGGUGAGGUAACGGCUCACCAAGGCGACGAUACAUAGCCGACCUGAGAGGGUGAUCGGCCACACUGGGACUGAGACACGGCCCAGACUCCUACGGGAGGCAGCAGUAGGGAAUCUUCGGCAAUGGGGGCAACCCUGACCGAGCAACGCCGCGUGAGUGAAGAAGGUUUUCGGAUCGUAAAGCUCUGUUGUAAGUCAAGAACGAGUGUGAGAGUGGAAAGUUCACACUGUGACGGUAGCUUACCAGAAAGGGACGGCUAACUACGUGCCAGCAGCCGCGGUAAUACGUAGGUCCCGAGCGUUGUCCGGAUUUAUUGGGCGUAAAGCGAGCGCAGGCGGUUUGAUAAGUCUGAAGUUAAAGGCUGUGGCUCAACCAUAGUUCGCUUUGGAAACUGUCAAACUUGAGUGCAGAAGGGGAGAGUGGAAUUCCAUGUGUAGCGGUGAAAUGCGUAGAUAUAUGGAGGAACACCGGUGGCGAAAGCGGCUCUCUGGUCUGUAACUGACGCUGAGGCUCGAAAGCGUGGGGAGCGAACAGG